rnacentral:tRNA from 1 species
GCUGGAAUAGCUCAGUUGGUAGAGCAUGAGACUCUUAAUCUCAGGGUUGUGGGUUCAAACCCUAUGUUGGGCA